rnacentral:rRNA from 1 species
CCUACGGGAGGCAGCAGUGAGGAAUAUUGGUCAAUGGACGAGAGUCUGAACCAGCCAAGUAGCGUGAAGGAUGACUGCCCUAUGGGUUGUAAACUUCUUUUAUAUGGGAAUAAAAUGUUCCACGUGUGUGAUUUUGUAUGUACCAUAUGAAUAAGGAUCGGCUAACUCCGUCCCAGCAGCCGCGGUAAUACGGAGGAUCCGAGCGUUAUCCGGAUUUAUUGGGUUUAAAGGGAGCGUAGGUGGAUUGUUAAGUCAGUUGUGAAAGUUUGCGGCUCAACCGUAAAAUUGCAGUUGAAACUGGCAGUCUUGAGUACAGUAGAGGUGGGCGGAAUUCGUGGUGUAGCGGUGAAAUGCUUAGAUAUCACGAAGAACUCCGAUUGCGAAGGCAGUUCACUGGACUGCAACUGACACUGAGGCUCGAAAGUGUGGGUAUCAAACAGGAUUAGAUACCCGAGUAGUC